UACGUAGGUCCUGAGCGUUGUCCGGAUUUAUUGGGCGUAAAGCGAGCGCAGGUGGUUUAUUAAGUCUGGUGUAAAAGGCAGUGGCUCAACCAUUGUAUGCAUUGGAAACUGGUAGACUUGAGUGCAGGAGAGGAGAGUGGAAUUCCAUGUGUAGCGGUGAAAUGCGUAGAUAUAUGGAGAAACACCGGUGGCGAAAGCGGCUCUCUGGCCUGUAACUGACACUGAGGCUCGAAAGCGUGGGGAGCAAACAGG
rnacentral:rRNA from 1 species